UUAAUUGAAACCAAAAAAGAGGUCUAUCACUGUUAAUGAUAAAAAUGAAUUUAUUCCAAUUAAA
rnacentral:tRNA from 1 species